rnacentral:rRNA from 1 species
GUGCAGCAGUCGAGAAUACUCCGCAAUGCCCGAAAGGGUGACGGGGGGAUUCCAAGUGCCUACGCUUAGCGUAGGCUGUUCAGGUGCCUAAAAAGCACCUGGAGGAAGGGCUGGGUAAGACGGGUGCCAGCCGCCGCGGUAAUACCCGCAGCCCGAGUGGUAGUCGCUUUUAUUGGGCCUAAAGCGUCCGUAGCCGGUCUGGUAAAUGCCUGGGUAAAUCGUGGGGCUUAACCUCACGAAUUCCGGGUAGACUGCCAGACUUGGGACCGGUUGAGGGAGAGGGUACUCCAGGGGUAGGGGUGGAAUCAGCAAGGUAAGCUGAUGUAACUUGCCUUGCAAGUCACAAUCCUGUAAUCCUUGGAGGACCACCGGUGGCGAAAGCGCUCUCCUAGGACGGGUCCGACGGUGAGGGACGAAAGCCAGGGGAGCAAACCGGAUUAGAUACCCGGGUAGU